AUUGAACGCUAGCGGGAUGCCUUACACAUGCAAGUCGAACGAGUGGCGGACGGGUGAGUAGUAUAUCGGAACGUGCCCAAUAGCGGGGGAUCACUAGUCAAAAGCGUGGCUAAUACCGCAUACUAUUGGAGCGGCCGAUAUGGGAUUAGCUAGUGGGUGGGGUAAAGGCUCACCCAGGCAACGAUCCGUAGCUGGUUUGAGAGGAAGACCAGCCACACUGGGACUGAGACACGGCCCAGACUCCUACGGGAGGCAGCAGUGGGGAAUUUUGGACAAUGGGCGAAAGCCUGAUCCAGCCAUCCCGCGUGUAUGAGAAGGCUUUCGGGUUGUAAAGUACUGUUGGCAGAGAAGCGGUAUCUGCAGAAUAAGCACCGGCUAACUACGUGCCAGCAGCCGCGGUAAUUC
rnacentral:rRNA from 1 species